rnacentral:tRNA from 1 species
GUCCCCAUCGUCUAGUCUGGCCUAGGACAAGAGCUUUUCAAGCUCUCGACCGGGGUUCAAAUCCCCGUGGGGACA